GCUCCGCGCCCGGGACGCGCGGGGGGCGGAGGGGCAUUCCCCCAGCCCAGGUCCUGUGGGCACCUUCCACCCGAAACACGCCGCGCGGGGCCGGGAGGGCGUCUGGCACCUGCGCGAGCGGGGAGGCCGGGGCCGGGCAGCGGCGGCGACCGACGGGGAACCGAAGGGUGAAAAGCGGCGGCGAAGCGAGCGGUCUGUGGCCGUCCUGAGCUUUGCCCUCACCCUCGCCUCCUCCUGCCACGGGUCGUGACGCUAACGUCACGGCCGAGGCGAAAAGGGCUUGCUCUUCAGCAGCAUUAGAGGAAAACAGCUAAACUAACUUCCUGAGGUUACGUAAACAAAAAGGUUUCAGAACUGAAAGGACGCUAAUGAAGUCUGCCCCAGAGCUAUAUCUGGGUGCCAUACUCGCCGUUGCUGUUUUACACUUCCAUUUUGCAAGUAGCAUACUUGACUCAUUUCUUCCUGAAGAGGAAUCUCCUGAGAUAUGCUGGAAUAGGUGAACUAUGCUAUGGAGUUAAAAGUCUCAGCAACCACCUCCUGGACACAGGACUGCAGAGCUAGGACUAAAGCCUCAACGCUGAAGAGUAAGCACUACUGUGGAACAUUCUCACUGCAUGCCUCAGCCCCCAGCAGAAAAUGCAAACCUAAGCCU